rnacentral:ncRNA from 2 species
UAAUAAUGCUAGGGGAGCGACAGCUGAGAAGCAUGUUUAGUAAUAACAUGCUGACCCUCACUACUUGAUCCGGGUAAUACCGGCGUAAGGAAGCAAUCAAGUGUCAAG